rnacentral:rRNA from 1 species
CCAAUAGCGUAUAUUAAAGUUGUUGCAGUUAAAAAGCUCGUAGUUGAAUUUCGGGAUCAAUUUGCUGGUCGUGCCUUCGGUACGCACUGGUAUUAUUGGUUUCUCCUUUCUGAUGAAUCGCGAUGUCAUUAAUUUGGUGUCGUGGGGAAUCAGGACUGUUACUUUGAAAAAAUUAGAGUGUCUAAAGCAGGCUCACGCUUGAAUACAUUAGCAUGGAAUAAUGAAAUAGGACGUUUGAUUCUAUUUUGUUGGUUUCUAGGAUCGACGUAAUGAUUAAUAGGGAUAGUUGGGGGCAUUAGUAUUCAAUUGUCAGAGGUGAAAUUCUUGGAUUUAUUGAAGACUAACUACUGCGAAAGCAUUUGCCAAGGAUGUUUUCAUUAAUCAAGAACGAAAGUUAGGGGAUCGAAGACGAUCAGAUACCGUCGUAGUCUUAACCAUAAACUAUGCCGACUAGGGAUCGGAUGAUGUUAAUUUUUUAAUGACUCAUUCGGCGCCUUACG